rnacentral:lncRNA from 1 species
CAUAACCGCGGGUACGCCUAUUCGAAUAGAUUAAACUCUGAUCAGAGGUGUACCACUGUACCCACAAGACACAUUCCCACAACAUGUUACCAUGCGCCUUAGUACCACCACGAUACCUCGGAAAGGAACUGUGACAAUACCCCUUGCAUAACACAACUCACCACAGUGCACCGUACCUGGAUCAUAAUCACCCUCUACAACCAGAGGCAUGGACUCCCCAGCGACCCCCACGGACUUCUCGCCGCUUCUCAGUCUGGCACUCCAUAAUGAAUCAUGCUAUACAAAAGGUAAAGCCGUUGCCCACGCUGGCUUGUGGUUGGCACGGUAAAAGUUUCACAACAGUAGCUCGCGAACCGGUCCUUAAUUGUCAUGAGCACAACCAUCAAAACCAUAUGCUCACAACCCACCUUAACCAGGUUUUAAUUAUCAAUUAAUUAACAUCACACGAUCACCCAUCGUGAGCUACCAUUUAAUGUAACCAUAAUUAAAAUAAUAAUGUAACAUAGUCUAUAAUUAAUCCCUUUAGUUAGCUAAUGUUUCUAAGCACGGCUAAGCAAACUUACAUAUAGCAUUUAGCUGAACCAAUCCAACAUAUAAGGUUCAUGUUAAUCAAAUUAUAACCCAUAGGAAAAUAAGAUCAUCUUCGGCCGUUAAUUAAUUGGGAAGGUUCACCACCCGAUGACAUUCGAAAACAAUGCAUAGUUGAAAUAAAAUAAUAGCUUUAAACGGGUUCAACAUGCUCAAAGAGUUGUUUGGGAUCUGUGUGACUUGCCUUGGGCUUCCGCAAACGCUUCGGAACCUUCCUCAACGGAAACGCUCUCCUCCGGAACGUCGGAAACUAAAGCAAUUAAACAAAAAUCAACAAAACAGUACAAAAACAAGCAUAAACAGUACAUGUGGAUAUUUUUAACAUGUAGAUCUUGAUUUUAGAAAAAUUUAGCAACUUGAACCACCUGAAACGGAUCUACGAUUAUUUAGUUAUGAUUUUCCGAAGAUUUAAUCUAUUAGAAAAAAAAAGAAAAAGGGAAAGAUGAUGAUGUCAUGAUGACGUCAUCAAUGGCGGCCUUGGCUCGGGCGGCACGACCACCGGCGCUACGGACCUUGGUCGGGCGAAAAGAGGGCACCUACGCGUAGAGGGCAACAAGACGAACGCAACGGUACUCACCAAUGCGCCCAACGACGACCGAUGGUGGCCGGCGACGAGAGGAGGCGGCGCGGCGGUUCGGUCGACGGCGGCGACGGGUCUCCGGCGACCGGCGACAGCGGGGAGAGGGCGGCCGAGGUUCCUCACCUCCGUGCGCACCUAACGGCGGCGAGAGGAAGCGGCGGCGACGGCGAAAUCGAUGGCGCGGCGCGGCUGGAGAUCGCCGGCGGCGACGGCGAGACAAGGCGGCGUCGGCGGCGAGCUACGGGGCACGGGAGAGGACGGGAAUAGGGGCAAACGAAAGAGGAGAACUAGGGGGUCCUAUUUAUAGCCUUGGAUUGAAGAGAUCAGACUCCAAACGAGAGGAAUCGAAACCGGAAAAUCUUCGGGUUAGUUUGCAGAGAUAAAAUCAAAACGAGUUUGAUUCGGACAAGAUACACAACCAUUUGCUCCGAUUCUUGAGGGGAAAGAUAGAGGAAGAUGUGGGGAUAAAAACCCCCCUAACAAUCGGACUCGAUUGCGACAGAGGGCGGCGGUAUCGAUGGUGCAAACGGCGGCUCGGACGGCUCGGCCUGGCAAUCGGCCGGCUGGAGGAGGAAGAUGGGUCCGACAUGUGGGCCCCACAUGUCGGUGACCCGAGGAGGAGGGGCGGGCGGCGUCGGCUGGGCCGGCUUGGGCCGGUUCGGCCGCGCGGAAGAGAGAGGAAUGUUGGGCCGAAUUCGGCCCAACGGCUUAGGGAGGGGUUUUUGAACUUUUUUGAAUAAAAAUAAUUUGUGAAUUGUUGUUUCAAUUAUUAAAAAUACUUCCCUUGCUCAAACAAUUCCCAGAAAAAUCUAGAAAAUAGAGGAACAAGUAAAGUAUUUAAUAAAAUUUUAUCUAGCUCAUUUUUAUGUUGAAAAUUUUCCUAGAUAAUUAGGGUUUAACUUGUAGGCUUUUAAAAUAAUUUCUAAAAAUGAUUUAAACAAUGUAUUUUUACAUUAGACGAUUUUUAGGGCGUGAACAAGCUCAAGGCUAGAUAUGUGCCAUCCUCUAAUAGCUAAUCAUUCACUCGAACCUAUGAUAGAUUAUAUAAUUUGUGAUAGACUCCUUGUCACGCCCGGAAUUUCUAUCCAAAAUUCCAAACGCUUACAUGUGUAUUAAACCCUCGUCCAGGAAUCAACCGAGGCACACAAUGACAAUUUGAUAAUAGAGUACAAAUAAAUAACUAUUUAAUACUCGCAAAAAUAAAAGAUUACAGAGGUAGAUAGUUCCUCUCAAAGAAUAACAUUCUACGCAGCGGAAAAAUAAAACGAUAACAAACUACGGAACAGCUAUGGCGACUCCACUCCACAGGCAUCUUAACCAAGAACAAGCUCAAUCCUCCAGAUCAUCACCUUCACUGAAAAACUCCUCUUCUGAUGAAUGAAUAUUGCAAGAAUGAGCAUAUGACAUACUCAACAAGCCACACAGCAAAUAUGCAAGUGCACAGGAUAACAAAGGAUGGCAUAAUAUAGCUCAUUUGCAGAAACAGCAUUUAAUAAAUAUUUAAGAGAAUAGUAAAAACAGUUGAAUAUUUAAUCAAUAUUAAAUAAACACCAUACAACACACCCAUGUUGCACAGGCCCAACCACAUUUGAACAACCAACCCCAGUUGAACAAAUUAAACCUCCAAACCAGGAAUUAUCCAUUCCAAACCAGGAGUCAAAUUAAUUAUCACAUUAUUAACAUUGAUGAGUAGUGUGAGACUAAUCACGAAAAACAUUGCUCAACUCACCCAUAACCGCGGGUACGGCUAUUCGAAUAGUUUAAGCUCUGAUCAGAGGUGUACCACUGUACCCACAAGACACAACCCCACAUGAUGUCACCAUGUGCCUCAAUACCACCACGGUACCUCGGAAAGGAGUUGUGACAAUACCCCUUGCACAACAUAACCCAUUACAGCGCACCUUUCCUGGAUCAUAAUCACCCCCUUAUAAACAAGGCCUGGACUCCCCAGCGACCCCCGUGGACUUCUCGCCACUUCUCAGUCUGGCGCACUAUAAUGAAUCACGCUAUACAAAAGAUAAAGCCGUUGCCCACGCUGGCUUGUGGCUGGCACGAUAAAUGUUUCACAACAGUAGCUCGCGAACCGGUCCUUAAUUGUCAUGAGCACAACCAUCAAAACCAUAUGCUCACAACCCACCUUAACCAGGUUUUAAUUAUCAAUUAAUUAACCUCACACGAUUAACCAUCGUGAGCUACCAUUUAAUAUAACCAUCAUUAAUAAAAAUAUAACAUAGUUUAUAAUUAAUCCCUUUAGUUAGCUAAUGUUUCUAAGCAUGGCUAAGCAAACAUAUAUAUAGCAUUUAGCUGGACCAAUCUAAUAUAUAAGGUUCAUGCUAAUCAAAUUAUAACCCAUAGGAAAAUAAAGUCAUCUUCGGCCAACAAUUAACUGGGAAAGGUUCACCACCCAAUGACAUUCGAAAAUAAUGCAUAAGUUGAAAUAAAAUAAUAGCUUUAAAUGGGUUCAACAUGCUCAAAGGGUUGUUUGGGAUCUGUGUGACUUGCCUUGGGCUUCCGCAAAUGCUUCGGAACCUUCCUCAAUGGAAACGCUCUCCUCCGGAACGACGGAAACUAAAGCAAUUAAACAAAAAUCAACAAAACAGUACAAAAACAAGCAUAAACAGUACAUGUGGAUAUUUUUAACAUGUAGAUUUUGAUUUUAGAAAAAUUUAGCAACUUGAACCACCUAAAACGGAUCUACGGUUAUUUAGUUAUGAUUUUCCGAAGUUUUAAUCUAUUAGAAAAUUGGAAAAAAGAAAAGAAAAGGAGAUGAUGACGUCAUGCUGACGUCACCCCACGGCAGCCGGCUAGGGUUUGCGACCUCGCCGGAGCUAGGGCGAUCGGCCGGGCAAUUGGAGGGCACCUACGCGUAGAGGACGACGAGGCGAACCCAACGGUACUCACCACAACGACAAACGACGAACGAUGACGGCCGGCGACGAGAGGAAGGCGGCGGCGGCUCGGGUUGGACGGCGACGGCGAGCUACGGCGGUCGGCGGCGAAGGGGAAGGGGCGGCCAAGGUUCCUCUCACCACGGCGCACCUAACGGCGGCGGCGGCAGACGGCGGCGACGGCGGAGGCGGCAGCGCGACGCGACCGAAGACGGCCGGCGGCGGCGGCGAACUUAAUGCGCGCGGCGGCGGCUCUACGAUGCACGAGAGAGGACGGAAGAGGGGGCAAACGAAAGGGGGCGAUGAGAUGGUCCUAUAUAUAACCUUGGAUUGAAGAGAUCGAACUUGUCACGCCCGGAAAUUCACUAGUAAUUUCCGAACUAAUUUGUGUAUAAAAUCCUCGUCCAGGAAUCAGCCGAGGUACACAAACUGACAAUUUAAUAUACAAAUCCAUCAUAAUAACGUUACAUACUUACAAAGAAAAGAAAACAGCAGCGGAAUUAACGGUCUAGCGAUGGCUUCAGCUCCACUCCCACAGGCAGCUCAACUGGGGUAUAAGCCAAACGUCUUCUCCUUCCGGAUCCUUUAUCUUCAACUGAGGUUUGAUGAUUAUUGCAAGAAUGAGCAUAUGACAUACUCAACAAGCCACACAGCAAAUAUGCAAGUGCACAAGGAUUCCAAAGGAUGGCAUAAUAUAGGCUCAUUUGCAAAAGCAGCAUUUAGCAAAGAUUUAAGAUAAGUAAAACAGUAGAGUAAUUAAUCACCAAUUUUAAUCAACACUGAACAGCACACCCAUGCUGCUCAGGCCCAACCAAACCUGAACAACCAACCCCGGUCAUACAGAUCAAACCUCCAAACCAGGAAUUAUCCAUUCCAAACCAGGAGUCAAAUUAAUUAUCACAUUAUUAAUAUUGAUGAGUAGUGUGAGACUAAUCACGAAAAACAUUGCUCAACUCGCCCAUAACCGCGGGCACGGCUAUUCGAAUAGUUUUACUCUGGCCAGAGGUGUACCACUGUACCCACAAGACACGAUUCCACACAUGUUGCCAUGCCCCGAAAUACCACCACGGCAUUGCAAAGGGGGAAAUCGUGACAAUACCCUUUGCACAACACAACUCAAAACAGUGCACCGUACCUGGAUCAUAAUCACCCCCUUAUAAACAAGGCAUGGACUCCCCAGCGAUCCCCAUGGAUGUCACGUCCUGAUAAAUUCAUCCCGAAAAUAAAAAUCAUUCUCUAAAAGGAAUAAUAGAAUUAAUUAAAAUUCGAAAAGAAAUUGGCAAACACUAAAAUACGUGCAAGAAAAAUUCAAAUGUGGCCCGGAGAAUUUUUGUUAAAUUCUCCUUGGUCUAAAAAUAAGCCCUCAAAUUUUACUUGAAUUUUCAGAGCACCGGAAAUAUUUAUUAAACAACAACAUUUAUCAAAGUUCAAUAAAAAGAAAACCUAAAAAUCCCUCCUCUUCCUCCUUUGGGCCAAGCCCAGCCCGAAGUCCUUCCCUCCUCCCUCUCUUUCUCUCCCUCUCCUUCUCUCCCUCCUCUUGGGCCUCCUCCCCUCUCGGCCCAGCUCCCUUUCCCCCCUCUCUCUCCCGGGCUGCCUCUUUCCCCCCCCCCUCCUUCCCGGCCUGCCUCGGCCCAGCCGCCCGGCCCAAGCCGCCUCCCCCUUCCCCCCCCCUCCUGGGCCGGCCGCCCGGCCCAACCCGAGCGGCGCCCUCCCGCCCGAGCGCGCACGUGCGCGCGCUGACCGCGCGCCCCGCGUGGGGCCCACGCGUCAGGCCGCCGUCGCCUUCUUCCUCCAGCCGCCGCCCGGCUUCCCUCUCCCCGUGCGAACCCUAGCUCACUCCCUCCUCCAAAUCCGCUUGAUUCGCUUGGUUAAUUCCAAAAUUAAAUAGGGGAAAUUAAUCCCCAUUGACUCCUCUUCAUUUCCCCCUAAUUUCCCCUUUGAAUGCCGCCCCCAAUCGCCGGGAACGGCCGCGCCAAGUCCGGCCGCCUUCCAUUGCCGCCGGCCGGCUUUUCCGCCGCCGUUCCGACCUCCCCCGUGGCCGGCUCCCUCUUCUCUCAUAUAAAAUAGAACCCCCUCUUUACGUUCUACCGUUUUAGCCUCUUCCCGAGCUCUCCCGUGGUCUCUAGCCACCUCCCCACCGUCGCCCUCUCUCUCCCACGUUGCCGGCCGGCCUCCAGCCGCCUCUCCCGCCUCGCCGGAGCGUCGUCCGGCCGCGCCGUCGCCUCCUCCAGCGUCGCCGCCACCUCCUCCACCCCGGCUUGCCCUCCGUUUCGCGAGGUGACCCCCGGAGCUGCCUCCCCGCCGUCGCCCUUCUCGUUUCUCCGCGCCGGCCGCCUCCAGUCGCCUCUCCCGCCUCGCCCGUGCGCCGUCCGGUCACGCCGUCUUCUCCCUCGGCCUCGCAGCCACCUCCUCUCCCUCGGUCAGCCCUCUGUUUCGCGGGGAAAACACCGGAGACGCGUCCUCGCCGGCGUCCAGUGGCGUCGCCACCACUUCUCCGCCUCCGGCCGCCUCUGCCGCGUCCCCGGUGCGCCGGCCGACGUCGCCACCACCUCUCCCGGCACCGGAGUGCCGUCCUCUCUCCCGGCCAGGCCACGGCGUCGCCCGAAUUUCGCCGGAACGCCGUCAUCUCCGCGCCGGCCUCUCCUUCCUCCUCGUCGGCUCGUCGCCCCGCUGCACCACCACCUUCACCAACAUCGCAGCGGCGUGUUCCACGCCAUCCCCUCCUCCGCUCAGCCGCUGCUGCCUGCCAUCAUCGUCAUCGUCGUCUCCGUUCGUCCUCGCCGAUCGACGUCCCAUCGGUUGCCCGGCUCGUCGUCUCGCGGCGCCGCCUCCGUCAUCGUCAUCGUAGCGGCGUGUUCCACGUCGUCCUCGUCCCCGUGCAGCUGCUGCUGGCUGCCCCUCGUCGCCCCCUCGCCGGUCCCGGUCGUCGUCGUCGUCGUCGUCCUCUCGUCGUUCCCGGUCGUCGUGGCGUUCGUCCCUCCGUCGAGCCGUUCUCGUCCGUCGUCCGCGUUCGUCAAGCGAGCCGCUGCAGCCCCGUCCUCGUCUCCGUCCUCGGCUCCGCGUCGUCAAGCCUCGUGCCGGCCGCGUCUCGCCUUUGUCCAAGGAUCGCCGCCGAAGUCGUUCCCUCGCCGUUCGCCUCCGUCGUCCCCGAGCUGUCCUCGCCGGUCCCGUUCGUCGUUGUCGUUCCCACGCCUCGUCGCGUGGUGGUAAGGAUCCGUCCUCUCGCUUCCCCGCCCUCGUCCUUCCGGUGUCGCCCCGUACCCGUUGUGCGGUCGUCGACCCCGGUACCCGUGUACCGGUGUCGGUAGUCGUUCACGUGUGCGGGUGGCGACCGUGUAGUGUCCGUGUUAGUGUGCCCGCUCGGUAGCCGCGUGGUUUCCACGUGUGCAACCCGUGUGGUGUCUAGUGGAGUCCGUUUGUCGGCCACUCGCCUCGGUUGACACACGGGGUCCGCUUCCGUCGACCCGUGGACCGUCUCUGUGUACCCGGUCUACCGUGGUCCUUUAGGUUGACAUGUGGGGUCCGCAUGUCAACGGCGCAGCCUUCCUGUCUUUUCCAGGCUAGCGCUUACACAUGUUUUAUAAUUGCAAAGCUUAAUUAUAAUAAUUCGCAAAUCUCCAUAUAACAGCAUUAAACUUCGGAUGAUCAUAUCCUGGUCAUACGAGCUCCGAAUCGACCCGUUCAAGUCUCUUAAUGUUUGUUAUAACCUAAAGAACCCUGUGCUUUGUUUUUAUGUAUUGUUAUUGCUUCUUUAUAGGCUUGUAGCUUUGUUUGUGUGCUUCGCGUAGCUUCUGUCGUUCCGGAGGUUCCCGAAGCGUGGUUCGUGGUCGUCGCCGAAGGUUCGGAAGGCCGUUCUCUCUGAGCAAGGCAAGUCACAUCAUCCUUGAACAUAUUGAAUCCCAGUUUGUAAAAUUAUGUUGAUUUAAAUUAUUGCAUUACCGCUUUAUUUAAAUUCCCGCGUUAUCACUGUUUUAUCUAGCCAUGCCUAUUUACCUUUGUUAUGACCUUAUUAUUGCUAUUGUUAUUAUUACCUUGUUCACCCUAGAGUAAACAAAACCUCAACUAGUGGACACUCUACUCGUGGUAUCCCUAGUUUAAAUUUAGGUAGAUGCUUCGCAAUUUAAUAGGACAACAUUAGUUAGAUUUUAUAACUUUAGACUUUGGGAAUUUCUCAUAUCAUUUGGACACUAUGGAAUUGUUGGAUUAUGGUGGAAUUGGACAUACACCUCUCUUCCUCUUUCAAAACCCCUAAAGCCUGUUUUCGGUGGGGUUUGGGUGCAUGCCAGUUAUGGGAAGUAGCACCCCGGCCACUAUAAGGAUUAAGCUCGGGCCUCUGUUGCAAAGCACUACCGUACUAACCACAUGUCUAAUGGGUAAGGCUUAACUCGGUGCUCAGUCUAGUCCUGAACAAAAGGACACGGAUUGGAGAUGGAUGAAGUCGGGUGUCGAUGGACAUUCUCCAGGGCAAAUGAAGGCUACACGAGCUGCGGCCCGGUAGUCGAGAUGUCGUAUGGCAGAGGGUUGGUGCCCUGCUGCUAGGGGCUCAGUUCUGCCUGCCUGUCCCGGGUAUCCCGGCCGUAGGUGGGAUUGGGUCGGUACUUUUGUUCACGGCUAGGAUGGGUGAAGGGUUAUGUCACAUCUUUACGACGGGUUCCAAGGCCAUGGAAUGCGGAGUAAAGAUGUGUCUUGUGGGUAAAGAUGUACACCUCUGAUCAGAGUAAAUCUAUUCGAAUAGCCGAGCCCUCGGAUAUGGGCAAGCCUAGCAAUGUACCCAAGUCAGUGUUUUAAUUCUUAAAAUUUGCUCAACAACUAAAAUAUGGAAUGGUUGGCCUGGGUUGGCUUGGGACGAGCUGGGACCCAGGGUCGGGUUGCCAGUUCGGUCCGAAUCAUCGUAGGCCUUGGGUUAAGGCAGGUUCGUGAGGGUUCACGGCCUUGAUUAAUAAUACUGUGUAGCUCUAGGAUCGUCUUUACAAAAUGGCUUUGGGCAACUAAGUGGCUUUUAAAUGCUGUUUACUGCAAAACUUAACCUCUAUGUUAUUAUCCCCUUGUACUCCUUUGCAUUAAUUGUGCAUCCCCGGUGUGGCUUGCUGAGUACUGUGGUUGUACUCAUUCUUGCUCAAUCUUUCCCCUCUUCAGUAAGAGAAGCUUUGGAGAAGAAGUCUUAGGUGGAGUCCUGGCUUAUACCCCAGUUGAGCGCCUGUGAAGAUGGAGCCGUAGGCCCGCUAGUCCGCUGCUGUUUAUUUUUGAUUGUCAGGCCUUAAGUGCCUUUGUAAUAAUGUAAAUAUUAUCGAUAUAAUAAAGAUGUGUCUUUUAUAUCAUGUUUGUGUGGUGUACCCCGGCUUUUCCUGGGACGGGGAUUAAUACACUAGCGUUCGGGAAAAGGCAAUUUUCCCGGUCGCGACAAGCUGGUAUCAGAGCCAUCUCGACUGUAGGAUAAGCCAAGUGGAUAAAACCUAAGGACAUAUGUUAUAAAUAAAACUAUUUGCGAAAGUUCCUUUUUUUCCUCCCCCUAAUGCUAUUUGCAAAAGGUUUACUCCCUUCUUCCUUCUUCGGAUUUCAACUAGUACUAGAUGGUCAGUUUUGCGAAGAAGAAGAUGUCGUCAGUUGUUUGCCGAAGCUCCGGAAGACUGCAGGAUCCGCUAGCAAAGUGUAGGAAGCAGUGAAGCCAGCCGUGAAGCUGAAGCUAAGAUCUUGGAGAACCAGUCGCAGAACCUAAGCCGCCCUAUAGGGUAGUGUUGUUAGUCGUGUGUUUCUUGCUUGUGUGUGUAGCGCGUGGUUUGCAUCGGUGGGAGGUGAUGUAACCAUGCUAGGUUGUUUGCUUAAUCAACCUGCAGAAUAAGCGAAACAAACAACACAUCAACAAAAAGAGUUAGUUCCUUUAAGGUCUUGUCCCUAGUUCUGGUCUAUUCUUUCCUUGUAUGCUUCCCCUCUCAACCUCUACCUUGUGACAGAUGGAUAACAUUGGUAACAAAGGCUACGGGAAUGAUGGAUCCGAUGACUCAAGAACCCAAGCCAAUGGGAAUGAGAAAAGCAUCAACGAAACCUCACCAGAGCUAAUCCAAAUUGUGGUUAACCAAACCGACAUGUUGGCAACAGCCUUUCAACUAUUACAGAAUCGGAACAAUCCAGCAGGGGCAACCAACGUUCAAGUACCUACAGUCCAGCAACAGUGCAAGUUAUCAGAAUUUCUCAAAACGGGGCCUCCAACCUUUGCCAUGGCCGUCGAUCCUAUGGAAGCCAGUGAUUGGUUGCGCACAGUCGAGAAGAAGCUAGGGUUGAUUCAGUGCACCGACCAGGAGCGGGUUGGCUUCGCAACUCAUCAGUUGGUUGGACCGGCUUCAGAGUGGUGGGAUAGCUACGAAGCAUCACGGCCAGAAGGACAUACCAUCACCUGGAACGAGUUUUCAUCUGUAUUCAAGAGAUCACAUGUUCCCGCAGGAAUGAUCACACUAAGAAAACGAGAGUUUCGCUACCUGAAGCAAGGAGAUUUGACCGUCACAGAGUACCUGCAUGAGUUCUAUCGUUUGGCUCACUAUGCACCAGAAGAUGUGGAAACGGAUGAAGACAAACAAGAGAAGUUUCUCCAGGGGUUAAAAGAUGAGCUUGCAGUGCAACUACUUCUAGAGGAUUAUGAAGAUUUUGAGAAACUUGUGGACAAAGCCAUGCAACUCGAAAGUGAGCAUAAUCGGAUGACGAACUGCAAGAGAAGGAUUGUCAACAUCCCAGUAUUUCCAGGUGGUAACCAAAGACAGCGCACUGAGCCACUUCAGAUCACCGGAUCUCCUGUUGUGCAUCAAGAGUUCCUACCCCAAGAAGAUGAAUGCAAUGCAGACAACAACACUAGCAAUACUAAUAAUGAUGAUACCACCAACAACCAUGGUUCUUGCCCCAUUAGUGACCACUCGAAUAAAGCGUGCAAUGUCAGUAGCAUUCACCAAGAUGUCAACGAUAGUAUCAAUGUUGGAACCCAGAAUGACAACCUUAGCAAUUUCGACACUGAGAAAGACUCCAAUGGUGAUAGCAACUAUGGUACCACUGAUGCCAAUGUUAGCAAGGAUUUCCAACCACCAAUUCCAACUCCAAGUCACAAUGAUCAUCCCCAGAUGGACAGCUCAGCAAAGAAGACGUUGAUUUGUUACAACUGCAAAGAACCAGGUCAUUUCUCUAGAGAUUGUCCACAGCCGAAGCGUAACCUGCGCCAUCACUCCGGCCAUUAUGCAAGAAGAAGACAGGUCACUCGCCUUGUGGUCACUGGAGCAAACGCCGUACCUGUGAGGCCUCAUGUUAAUUCUAACCCAUAGUGGAAACAAUGUACCGAUGUUAAGCACCUUCCCUUUUUGUUUAAGACAGUGCCUUGUAUUCAUGUAAUAAGGGAGACAUGUGUAAUAAAAACAAGUUCUAUGAGGAUUAUUUCGGAAGAGUACUUGGUUGACAACGUUCGAAAGGUGAUUGAUAAGAGAAAUCUAAAAAGAAUACGUCAGGGUUGAAUGUGUAAAGGAAUACUUUGAAUGCUAAAUAAUAACGACAUGAAGAGAAUAGUGGAAAGUGAAUCCGAGUUGCUUGUUCGUGAGAGCUAUUCCCAGUUAUGAACCAAGUGAUAUGUUCGAAGAUAGUCUACAGAGGUCAGACAACGAAGCUUCAGAUUUGGCAGGAUAACGAUCAAACAAUAAGAAGCCCAGCAGUAAAGCUAUUUAGGAAGACGUCAAAGCAUGUCAAGUGGGAUAAUUUGGUUCCCCUGGGAAACAUAAUUCAAAGGCAAAGUUAUCGACCCUUGCAUCGAAUAGCAGAAGUAGCCUGCACCCGGAGACCAGGAAGGCUAAUAUGAGGCAGUUGGUGGCAAGUUAGAAGUAAAUGACAAGCCAGUCGAAGUCAGCUAAAGGUUCAACCAAGGACAAGUCAGGUGAAGAGAAGACUCCAUCUGCAACAGGAGAUCGAGCCAAGCAGUCCAGAGUGGAGAAGUUGUGCUAGGCAAGUUUGUUAUAGAAGACGGAGCGGAAGAAGUCAGACAAGAAGAGAAGACCGCCCAACCUAUCUUCUUGCUAGCCUCCUCGAAUCUCGGGGACGAGAUUCCUGUAAGGGGGGUGGAUUUGUCACGUCCUGAUAAAUUCAUCCCGAAAAUAAAAAUCAUUCUCUAAAAGGAAUAAUAGAAUUAAUUAAAAUUCGAAAAGAAAUUGGCAAACACUAAAAUACGUGCAAGAAAAAUUCAAAUGUGGCCCGGAGAAUUUUUGUUAAAUUCUCCUUGGUCUAAAAAUAAGCCCUCAAAUUUUACUUGAAUUUUCAGAGCACCGGAAAUAUUUAUUAAACAACAACAUUUAUCAAAGUUCAAUAAAAAGAAAACCUAAAAAUCCCUCCUCUUCCUCCUUUGGGCCAAGCCCAGCCCGAAGUCCUUCCCUCCUCCCUCUCUUUCUCUCCCUCUCCUUCUCUCCCUCCUCUUGGGCCUCCUCCCCUCUCGGCCCAGCUCCCUUUCCCCCCUCUCUCUCCCGGGCUGCCUCUUUCCCCCCCCCUCCUUCCCGGCCUGCCUCGGCCCAGCCGCCCGGCCCAAGCCGCCUCCCCCUUCCCCCCCCCUCCUGGGCCGGCCGCCCGGCCCAACCCGAGCGGCGCCCUCCCGCCCGAGCGCGCACGUGCGCGCGCUGACCGCGCGCCCCGCGUGGGGCCCACGCGUCAGGCCGCCGUCGCCUUCUUCCUCCAGCCGCCGCCCGGCUUCCCUCUCCCCGUGCGAACCCUAGCUCACUCCCUCCUCCAAAUCCGCUUGAUUCGCUUGGUUAAUUCCAAAAUUAAAUAGGGGAAAUUAAUCCCCAUUGACUCCUCUUCAUUUCCCCCUAAUUUCCCCUUUGAAUGCCGCCCCCAAUCGCCGGGAACGGCCGCGCCAAGUCCGGCCGCCUUCCAUUGCCGCCGGCCGGCUUUUCCGCCGCCGUUCCGACCUCCCCCGUGGCCGGCUCCCUCUUCUCUCAUAUAAAAUAGAACCCCCUCUUUACGUUCUACCGUUUUAGCCUCUUCCCGAGCUCUCCCGUGGUCUCUAGCCACCUCCCCACCGUCGCCCUCUCUCUCCCACGUUGCCGGCCGGCCUCCAGCCGCCUCUCCCGCCUCGCCGGAGCGUCGUCCGGCCGCGCCGUCGCCUCCUCCAGCGUCGCCGCCACCUCCUCCACCCCGGCUUGCCCUCCGUUUCGCGAGGUGACCCCCGGAGCUGCCUCCCCGCCGUCGCCCUUCUCGUUUCUCCGCGCCGGCCGCCUCCAGUCGCCUCUCCCGCCUCGCCCGUGCGCCGUCCGGUCACGCCGUCUUCUCCCUCGGCCUCGCAGCCACCUCCUCUCCCUCGGUCAGCCCUCUGUUUCGCGGGGAAAACACCGGAGACGCGUCCUCGCCGGCGUCCAGUGGCGUCGCCACCACUUCUCCGCCUCCGGCCGCCUCUGCCGCGUCCCCGGUGCGCCGGCCGACGUCGCCACCACCUCUCCCGGCACCGGAGUGCCGUCCUCUCUCCCGGCCAGGCCACGGCGUCGCCCGAAUUUCGCCGGAACGCCGUCAUCUCCGCGCCGGCCUCUCCUUCCUCCUCGUCGGCUCGUCGCCCCGCUGCACCACCACCUUCACCAACAUCGCAGCGGCGUGUUCCACGCCAUCCCCUCCUCCGCUCAGCCGCUGCUGCCUGCCAUCAUCGUCAUCGUCGUCUCCGUUCGUCCUCGCCGAUCGACGUCCCAUCGGUUGCCCGGCUCGUCGUCUCGCGGCGCCGCCUCCGUCAUCGUCAUCGUAGCGGCGUGUUCCACGUCGUCCUCGUCCCCGUGCAGCUGCUGCUGGCUGCCCCUCGUCGCCCCCUCGCCGGUCCCGGUCGUCGUCGUCGUCGUCGUCCUCUCGUCGUUCCCGGUCGUCGUGGCGUUCGUCCCUCCGUCGAGCCGUUCUCGUCCGUCGUCCGCGUUCGUCAAGCGAGCCGCUGCAGCCCCGUCCUCGUCUCCGUCCUCGGCUCCGCGUCGUCAAGCCUCGUGCCGGCCGCGUCUCGCCUUUGUCCAAGGAUCGCCGCCGAAGUCGUUCCCUCGCCGUUCGCCUCCGUCGUCCCCGAGCUGUCCUCGCCGGUCCCGUUCGUCGUUGUCGUUCCCACGCCUCGUCGCGUGGUGGUAAGGAUCCGUCCUCUCGCUUCCCCGCCCUCGUCCUUCCGGUGUCGCCCCGUACCCGUUGUGCGGUCGUCGACCCCGGUACCCGUGUACCGGUGUCGGUAGUCGUUCACGUGUGCGGGUGGCGACCGUGUAGUGUCCGUGUUAGUGUGCCCGCUCGGUAGCCGCGUGGUUUCCACGUGUGCAACCCGUGUGGUGUCUAGUGGAGUCCGUUUGUCGGCCACUCGCCUCGGUUGACACACGGGGUCCGCUUCCGUCGACCCGUGGACCGUCUCUGUGUACCCGGUCUACCGUGGUCCUUUAGGUUGACAUGUGGGGUCCGCAUGUCAACGGCGCAGCCUUCCUGUCUUUUCCAGGCUAGCGCUUACACAUGUUUUAUAAUUGCAAAGCUUAAUUAUAAUAAUUCGCAAAUCUCCAUAUAACAGCAUUAAACUUCGGAUGAUCAUAUCCUGGUCAUACGAGCUCCGAAUCGACCCGUUCAAGUCUCUUAAUGUUUGUUAUAACCUAAAGAACCCUGUGCUUUGUUUUUAUGUAUUGUUAUUGCUUCUUUAUAGGCUUGUAGCUUUGUUUGUGUGCUUCGCGUAGCUUCUGUCGUUCCGGAGGUUCCCGAAGCGUGGUUCGUGGUCGUCGCCGAAGGUUCGGAAGGCCGUUCUCUCUGAGCAAGGCAAGUCACAUCAUCCUUGAACAUAUUGAAUCCCAGUUUGUAAAAUUAUGUUGAUUUAAAUUAUUGCAUUACCGCUUUAUUUAAAUUCCCGCGUUAUCACUGUUUUAUCUAGCCAUGCCUAUUUACCUUUGUUAUGACCUUAUUAUUGCUAUUGUUAUUAUUACCUUGUUCACCCUAGAGUAAACAAAACCUCAACUAGUGGACACUCUACUCGUGGUAUCCCUAGUUUAAAUUUAGGUAGAUGCUUCGCAAUUUAAUAGGACAACAUUAGUUAGAUUUUAUAACUUUAGACUUUGGGAAUUUCUCAUAUCAUUUGGACACUAUGGAAUUGUUGGAUUAUGGUGGAAUUGGACAUACACCUCUCUUCCUCUUUCAAAACCCCUAAAGCCUGUUUUCGGUGGGGUUUGGGUGCAUGCCAGUUAUGGGAAGUAGCACCCCGGCCACUAUAAGGAUUAAGCUCGGGCCUCUGUUGCAAAGCACUACCGUACUAACCACAUGUCUAAUGGGUAAGGCUUAACUCGGUGCUCAGUCUAGUCCUGAACAAAAGGACACGGAUUGGAGAUGGAUGAAGUCGGGUGUCGAUGGACAUUCUCCAGGGCAAAUGAAGGCUACACGAGCUGCGGCCCGGUAGUCGAGAUGUCGUAUGGCAGAGGGUUGGUGCCCUGCUGCUAGGGGCUCAGUUCUGCCUGCCUGUCCCGGGUAUCCCGGCCGUAGGUGGGAUUGGGUCGGUACUUUUGUUCACGGCUAGGAUGGGUGAAGGGUUAUGUCACAUCUUUACGACGGGUUCCAAGGCCAUGGAAUGCGGAGUAAAGAUGUGUCUUGUGGGUAAAGAUGUACACCUCUGAUCAGAGUAAAUCUAUUCGAAUAGCCGAGCCCUCGGAUAUGGGCAAGCCUAGCAAUGUACCCAAGUCAGUGUUUUAAUUCUUAAAAUUUGCUCAACAACUAAAAUAUGGAAUGGUUGGCCUGGGUUGGCUUGGGACGAGCUGGGACCCAGGGUCGGGUUGCCAGUUCGGUCCGAAUCAUCGUAGGCCUUGGGUUAAGGCAGGUUCGUGAGGGUUCACGGCCUUGAUUAAUAAUACUGUGUAGCUCUAGGAUCGUCUUUACAAAAUGGCUUUGGGCAACUAAGUGGCUUUUAAAUGCUGUUUACUGCAAAACUUAACCUCUAUAUUAUUAUCCCCUUGUACUCCUUUGCAUUAAUUGUGCAUCCCCGGUGUGGCUUGCUGAGUACUGUGGUUGUACUCAUUCUUGCUCAAUCUUUCCCCUCUUCAGUAAGAGAAGCUUUGGAGAAGAAGUCUUAGGUGGAGUCCUGGCUUAUACCCCAGUUGAGCGCCUGUGAAGAUGGAGCCGUAGGCCCGCUAGUCCGCUGCUGUUUAUUUUUGAUUGUCAGGCCUUAAGUGCCUUUGUAAUAAUGUAAAUAUUAUCGAUAUAAUAAAGAUGUGUCUUUUAUAUCAUGUUUGUGUGGUGUACCCCGGCUUUUCCUGGGACGGGGAUUAAUACACUAGCGUUCGGGAAAAGGCAAUUUUCCCGGUCGCGACAAUGGACUUCUCGCCACUUCUCAGUCUGGCGCACUAUAAUGAAUCAUGCUAUACAAAGGAUAAAGCCGUUGCCCACGCUGGCUUGUGGUUGGCACGAUAAAUGUUUCACAACAGUAGCUCGCGAACCGGUCCUUAAUUGCCAUGAGCACGACCUUCAAAACCAUGUGCUCACAACCCACCAUUAAUCAUAUUUUAAUUACCAAUUAAUUAUCAUAACACGAUUAACCAUCGUGAGCUACCAUUAAAUAUAACCAUAAUAAUAAUGUAGUAUAUAUGAUUCAUCCCAUUAGUGAGCUAAUGUUUCUAAACAUGGCUAAGCAAUUAUAUAUAUAUAACAUUUAGCUGAACCAAACCAAUACAUAAGGUUCAAGCUAAUCAAUUUAUUACCCAAGGUAUCAAGGAAUAGAGCAUUCAAUGCAAAUUGGCCAUAACAAAGGAAAAGGUUCACACCACCCGGUGACAUUCAAAAAUAAAUGCACAGUUGAAAUAAAUAGAGAAUUUAAAUAUAGGAUCAACAUGCUCAAAGGAUUGUGUUUAGGAUCUGUGUGACUUGCCUUGCAAUAAUCGAUCUUCAAUUAAUCUUCUUGAUCACUUCCGACGCACUCACGAACCUUCGCAACGACGGAAACGACAAGCUAACACGCAAAACGAAGAAAAAGACUAAUAAAAAACCAAAUAAACAGUACAUAAAAAGUAAACAAACAUGUAGAUCAUAAUUUUAGAUGAAUUAUGAGACUUGAACGGCCUCAUUCUGACUUCAAAUGAAUUUAUUAUGAAUUUUACAAGAUUAAAUCUAAUUAAAGCCCAUUUAAAAAGAAUUAAAUAAAUUUAAUUCAAUUUAUGGACAAUUUUAAUAUGUAGAUCUUUAUUUUAGAAAAAUUUAGCAACUUGAACUACAUUAAACUGAGUUACGAUGAUUUAGUUAUGAUUUUCCGAAGAUUUAAUCUAUUAAAAGAAAAGGAAAAAGAUGAGAUGAUGACGUCAGCAUGACGUCAUCCAUGGCCGGCGGCUCGGAUUGGCGACCUCGCCGGAGCUAGGAUGGUCGGCCGGGGAUUUGGAGGGCACCUACGCAUAGAGGACGACGAGAUGAACCCAACGGUACUCACCACGACGACAAACGACGAACGACGACGGCCGGCGACGAGAAGGGCGACGGCGGCGGCUCGGUUGAACGGCGACGGCGAGCUCCGGUGGCCGGCGGCAAAGAAGGACGGGCGGCCGAGCUUCUCCACCCCUUGGCGCACCUCUUGGCGAUGGCGGCAAGCGGCGGCGACGACGGAGGCGGCGGCGCGACGACGCCGAAGAUGGCCGGCGGCGGCGGCGAGCUAGACGCGCGUGGCGCGGCGGCUAGGAGGCACGGGAGACCACGGGAGAGAGAGCAAAUGAAAGAGGGCGACGAGGGGAUGCUAUAUAUAGCCUUGGAUUGAAGAGAUCGAACUCCAAACGAGAGGAAUCGACUCGGGAAAAAUCCAAACUCGGUUUUAGGGAUAAAAUCAAAACGAACUCGAUUCGGAUAAAAUACCCAACGAUUCGCUCCGAUUCUUGAGGGGAAAGAUAGAGGAGAAUGAGAGGAUAAAAUCCCCUCAAAAACCCGGAGGAAACGGGGUCGGAUUGGGUUGGAUUUGAGAGAAGAAAGGAGGCGCGGUCGGUCGGCAGCUCGGCUCGGCUUGGCCGGCCGGAGGUAGGGGAUGACCCCGACAUGUGGGCCCCACAUGUCGGUGGCUAGAGGAGGAGGGGCGGCGGCUGCUUGGCUGGGCCGACUUGGGCCGGUUCGGCCGCGCGGAGAAGAGAAGAGUUGGGCCGAAUUCGGCCCAACGGCUUAAAGGAGGGGUUUUUGAACUUUUUCAAUAAAAACAAUUUGUGAAAUGUUGUUUCAUUUAUUAAAAAUACUUCCCUUGCUCAAAUAAUUCCCAGAAAAAUCUAGAAAAUAGAGGAGCAAGCAUAGUAUUUAAUAAAAUUUUAUCUAGCUCAUUUUUAUAUUGAAAAUUUUCCUAGAAAAUUAGGGUUUAGCUUGUAGGUUUUUAAAAUAAUUUCUAAAAAAUUCCAAUUAAACAACAAUUUAUAUAUUUAGGAUUUUAAACAAGAAAAACUCUUAACAAUUAUAGUUAGAUCAUUUAAUGAUCAAAUAAUUACUAAACUGUUCUUUGUAUCAUUUAGGAAUUGAGCUCCGAAAAAUCCGAGAAAAUUCCAGAGAGUAUAAUUAACCAUGGAGAAUUUAAUAAAAAUUAAAUCCAUCCAUGCUUUAUAUUUAGGAAAUUUUAUUUCCCACAUUUAACUUCACUUGUAAAUUAAUGAACAUUUAAUAUAAAUUCUAUUAAUAAUUUACUAAAUUCUUUAUAAAUCUUGAAACGAAAAUCAGGCUGUGACAGAACUCCAAACGAGAGGAAUCGACUCGGGAAAAAUCCAAACUCGGUUUUAGGGAUAAAAUCGAAACGAACUCGAUUCGGAAAAAAUCCUCAACGAUUUGCUUCGAAACUUGGGAAAAGAUAGAGGAGAACGUGAGGAACAAAACCCCUCAAAAACCCGAAAGAAUCGGGGUCGGAUUGGAGCAGAAACGGAGGCGGAAAAGGGCGGCUCGGGCUUGCUAGGGCGGCCGGCCGGAGGUAGGGGAUGGAUCCGACAGGUGGGCCCCACCUGUCGGUCUCCUGAGAGGAGGGCACGGGCGGCUCGGCUGGGCCGGCUUGGGCCGCGCGGGAGAGAGAGAAUGUUGGGCCGAAUUCGGCCCAACGGCUAAGGAAGGGGAUUUUUGAACUUUUUUGAAUAAAAACAAUUUGUGAAAUGUUGUUUCAUUUAUUAAAAAUACUUCCCUUGCUCAAAUAAUUCCCAGAAAAAUCUAGAAAAUAGAGGAGCAAGCAUAGUAUUUAAUAAAAUUUUAUCUAGCUCAUUUUUAUGUUGAAAAUUUUCCUAGAAAAUUAGAGUUUAGCUUGUAGGCUUUUAAAAUAAUUUCUAAAAAUUCCAAUUAAACAACAGUUUAUACAUUUAGGAUUUUUAGGGCGUGACAAACCUACCCCCCUUAAACGGAAUCUCGUCCUCGAGAUUCAGAAGAACUGGCGAACAGAUGAGGAUGAGCUGACUUCAAUUCAUCUUCUCGCUCCCAAGUGGCUUCUUCUUCUGAAUGAUUGCUCCACUGAACCUUGCAGAACCGUAUAACGCGAUUCCUGGUAUUCCUCUCGCUUACUUCCAAAAUUCUGACGGGCUUCUCAACAUAAGUUAAAUCUUCUUGAAGCUCUAUACGAUCAGGAUCUGCUUCCUCCGUAGGUACACGUAAACAUUUCUUCAACUGAGACACAUGGAACACGUCAUGCAUUCCCGUCAUUGACGAAGGCAACUCUAACUGAUAAGCUACUUCACCUCUUCGACUCACAAUCUUAAAAGGUCCCACAAAGCGCGGUGCCAAUUUCCCUUUGGUUUGGAAACGAUGAACACCUCGUAACGGCGUAACCCGAAGGUAUACAUAAUCUCCUUCUUCGAAAGCCAAAUCUUUGCGACGAUUGUCGGCAUAGCUCUUCUGACGUGACUGAGCAACACGCAACCUUUCUUGGAUAAUCUUCACUUUUUCUUCUGCCUCUCGCAAUAUGUCUGUCCCAAAAACCUGACGUUCACCGGUUUGAUCCCAAAGAAGCGGCGUACGACACUUUCGACCAUAUAAUGCUUCAUACGGAGCCAUUUGCAAACUAGCUUGAUAACUAUUGUUAUAUGAGAAUUCCGCGUACGACAAAUUCUUAUCCCAACUUCCACCAAAAUCUAGAACACAGGCUCUCAACAUAUCUUCUAAAAUUUGGUUUACUCUUUCUGUCUGACCAUCUGUUUGAGGGUGAUAAGCGGUACUGAAAUUCAAACGGGUACCCAUCUCAACUUGUAAUUUCUGCCAAAACUUCGAAGUAAACUGGCUACCUCUAUCUGACACUAUCUUCUUAGGAACGCCAUGCAAACAUACCACUCUGGCCUUGUAUAACUCUGCAAGCUUAUUCCCCGUAUAGGUUGUUUUGACCGGUAUGAAAUGCGCGACUUUUGUCAACCUAUCAACCACUACCCAAAUAGAAUCAUGUCCUGCCGACGUUCUGGGUAGACCGGUUAUAAAAUCCAUUCCUAUUUCUUCCCACUUCCACUCUGGAAUCUUUAACGGUUGUAACAGAUCGGCUGGCUUCUGAUGUUCUGCCUUGACCCGCUGACAUACAUCACAUAGAGCCACAUAUUCUGCUAUCUCACGACGCAUACUGGCCCACCAGAAUUGUUGCUUUAAAUCUUGAUACAUCUUAGUGCUUCCAGGGUGAAUGGAAUACAAAGUUUCAUGAGCUUCUUUCAUGAUAGUAUCCUUCAACUCCUUAUUAUCUGGGACGCAAAUUCUUUCUCCUAACCACACAGUACCUUGCUCAUCUUCUACAAAACCGAUGGCUUUUCCUCUUCUCAUGUUUUUCUUUAUUUCUUGGAUAUCAGGAUCAUUCACUUGAGCUUCUCUAACUUGAUCAAACAGAGUAGGUUUAGCUUCUAAAGCGGCCAUAAAACCUUUGCUGACUAUUCCCAAGUUCAACUUUUCAAAUUCUUGGCAUAACUCCCGAGGUAAACGUCGACCUUCUGACAUAUUACAGUAGCUUUUCCUGCUAAGUGCAUCGGCUACAACAUUUGCUUUCCCCGGGUGAUAGUGGAUUUCCAUAUCAUAAUCUUUAAUCAACUCUAACCAUCUUCGCUGACGCAUGUUCAAAUCAGGUUGAGUGAAAAUAUACUUCAAACUUUUAUGAUCCGUAUAUACCUCUGUACAGUUACCGAAAAGAUAAUGACACCAAAUCUUCAAUGCAUGCACCACAGCAGCCAAUUCUAGGUCAUGCGUUGGGUAGUUAUUCUCAUGGGGACGUAAUUGCCUAGACGCAUAAGCAACCACCUUUCCUUCUUGCAUCAACACACAACCCAAACCGAGUCGGGAUGCAUCACAAUACACUUGGAAACCUUUCCUCGAAUCAGGCAAAACUAACACAGGCGCAGUCACUAGCCUUUUCUUCAAUUCUUGGAAACUUUGUUCACAAUCCUCUGUCCACUUGUACUUUACUUCCUUCUGAAGCAGACGAGUCAUUGGUCUGGCGAUCUUUGAAAAGUUCUCAAUAAACCUGCGGUAAUACCCAGCAAGUCCAAGGAAACUACGAAUUUCUGAAACCGUCUUGGGUUGCUUCCAACUUAACACUGACUCCACAUUGCUUGGAUCUACUGCCACUCCUCCGGACGAGAUGACAUGACCAAGAAACUUCACUUCGGACAACCAAAAUUCACAUUUACUGAACUUGGCAUAAAGCUGAUGCUCACGUAGUUUCUCUAAAGCUAGACGAAGAUGCUCUUCAUGUUCUUCCUUCGUCUUGGAGUAAAUAAGAAUGUCAUCAAUAAACACCACGACAAACUUAUCCAGAUAUUCCAUAAACACCUUGUUCAUCAGAUUCAUGAAAAAGGCUGGGGCAUUAGUGAGUCCAAAUGACAUAACGGUACAUUCGAACAUACCAUACCGAGUUGUGAAAGCGGUCUUUGGUAUAUCUUCCUCACGGAUUCGAAGUUGAUGAUAUCCAGAACGGAGAUCUAUCUUAGAGAAAACUGUAGCACCUUCCAGUUGAUCAAACAGGUCAUCAAUUCUGGGUAGAGGAUACUUAUUCUUGAUAAUCACCUCAUUCAACGCUCGAUAAUCCACGCACAUUCUCUGAGUAUGAUCUUUUGUCACGCCCGGAAUUUCUAUCCAAAAUUCCAAACGCUUACAUGUGUGUGAACCCUCGUCCAGGAAUCAGCCGAGGCACACAAUAACAAAUUGAUAAUAGAGUACAAUUAUUACUCUAAUUAAUAAGCGUAUAAAGUGUCAUUACAGAGGUAGAUAGUUCCUCUCAAACAAUAAAUAUCUAAGCAGCGGAAAAAGAAAUAAACGGCGCAGACGGCUCCACUCCACAGGCAGCUUGACCAAGGCUACACCUAAUCCUCCACUCCAUCAGCUUCACUGUAGAACUCUUCCUCUGAUGAAUGAUUGCAAGGUGAGUAUAUGACAUACUCAGCAAGCCACGCAGCAAAUAUGCAAGUGCACAGGAUAACAAAGGAUGGCAUAAUAGGGUUUCAUUUGCAAAAGCAGCAUUUAGCAAACAUUUGAGAAUUUAAUCAAACCGUUAAGUAAUAAUUAAACAAUAUUAAUCCAACGCUAUACAACAUACCCUGUUGUAUAGGCCCAACCAUUCUAAACAACCACCUCGGCUGCACAGUUCUAUCUCCAAACCAGGAAUAUACCAUUCCAAACCAGGAGCUAAUCAAAUUAUUACCAGUUAAAGCAUCAUUUACUAAGAUGAGAAGUGUGGGACUAAUCACGAAAGACAUUGUUAGACUCGCCCAUAACCGCGGGCACAGCUAUUCGAAUAGUUUUACUCUGAUCAGAGGUGUACCACUGUACCCACAAGACACAACCCCACAUCAUGUCACCAUGUGCCUCAAUACCACCACGGUACCUCGGAAAGGAGUUGUGACAAUACCCCUCAUACAACACAAUCCACUGCAGUGCACCUUCCUGGAUCAUAAUCACCCCCUUAUAAACAAGGCAUGGACUCCCCAGCGACCCCCGUGGGCUUAUCUCCGCCACUUCUCAGUCU